UCAGAGGGGAAAACGAAUAGGUAAAAGUCUAAAAGUGUUCCUGCGAUUGAUCUCGCGGCCAUUGUUGGCGAAGGUGAAAGAGACGACGGGGAUCGUCGGACUAUACGUGGUACCCAACGCCAGGGAAGUCCUCAUCGGUCUUUACACCAAGACCCUGAAGGAGAUCCUGGCCGUUCCUGAAGACGAGGGCUACCGUAAGACCGUUGAAAGCUUCACGCGCCACCGUCUCAAGGUCUGCCAGGAGGAAGAAGACUGGGAAAUGAUCGAGAAACGCCUCGGAUGUGGCCAGGUCGAGGAGCUAAUCUAGGAAGCGCGUGACGACACUCUCAUCGGCUAAAUGAUCGGUUUGCACCAUUUCAUCUCUCUUUUCCCGAGCUGAUGAAGCUCAAUCUUAUCGUUAGAGUGGGAUCCCUGGGGUGUUCCCGAUGACUACGAUUGCGAGGUUAUCGAAAACAAUGCUCCAGUUCCCAAGCGCGUUCCUCUACACCGACCCAGUCCUCUUCCGGAGGAGUUUUACAAGACGUUAGAAGCUGUUUCGAAGAAGGACGAGCCUAAAAUCACCCCGGAGAGCCACAGAUAAAGGAGUAGCUUGGUGAAGGCGGUCAGCUUACCCUCUGAAACCAGCGCUGGUUAUUUUCAGGGGAAAGAUGGAAAGCUGGAUGUUGCCGCAGCUUUGAAUAUUUUUUUACAAGGUUAUUACAUUGUUGAUGCGGGUUUUGUUACUCGUUGGGUAUAAAAAAUCUAGGGUAAAGUACACAAAUGGUAUUUUCACUAUAGGUUACUUUCUUUAUU